UACGUAGGGUGCGAGCGUUGUCCGGAAUUAUUGGGCGUAAAGAGCUUGUAGGCGGUUUGUCGCGUCUGCCGUGAAAAUUCGAGGCUCAACCUCGAACUUGCGGUGGGUACGGGCAGACUAGAGUGUGGUAGGGGAGACUGGAAUUCCUGGUGUAGCGGUGAAAUGCGUAGAUAUCGGGAGGAACACCGGUGGCGAAGGCGGCGACCUGGGUAGAUACUGACGCUGAGGUGCGAAAAGCGUGGGAAGCAACAGG
rnacentral:rRNA from 1 species